ACGACCUUACUUGAACAGGAUCUGUUCUAUAGGCUCGUACCUCUGUAUCCUUGAGUUCUAAGGAGACAGGAUUCCAAGUCUGGUUGAUGAGCCAGGGCUGCGUGAUCAGAGCGUGAUUAUUGGUCGGUGUUGCUGAAUGUCGGCUAACCUUGACCGCAGAGGAUCGUUCUCGGUUAGCCUCGUCUUCCCGGGAUGGUCGUGCAGCUGUCUGACAGACU